ensembl:lncRNA
GUGCGUGGGUAAACUCCCUAGUCCCUGCCGAUGACAAGCAGUUGCAGUGCGUGGGUAAACUCCCUAGUUCCUGCCGAUGACAAGCAGUUGCAUGCGUGGGUAAACUCCCUAGUUCCUGCCGAUGACAAGCAGUUGCAGUGCGUGGGUAAACUCCCUAGUCCCUGCCGAUGACAAGCAGUUACAUGCAAUUACAGCAUGGUAAACUCCCUAGUCCCUGACGAUUACAGCAUGGUAAACUCCCUAGUCCCUGCCGAUGACAAGCAGUUGCAUGCGUGGGUAAACUCCCUAGUUCCUGCCGAUGACAAGCAGUUGCAGUGCGUGGGUAAACUCCCUAGUCCCUGC